rnacentral:rRNA from 1 species
AGAGUUUGAUCCUGGCUCAGGACGAACGCUGGCGGCGUGCCUAACACAUGCAAGUCGAGCGAAGAGGAGGGAGCUUGCUUCCGAAUCUUAGCGGCGGACGGGUGAGUAACGCGUGAGCAAUCUGCCUCAAACAGGGGGAUAACGCAUCGAAAGAUGUGCUAAUACCGCGUAAGACCACAGCACCGCAUGGUGCAGGGGUCAAAGGAGGAAUCCGGUUUGAGAUGAGCUCGCGUCCGAUUAGAUAGUUGGUGGGGUAACGGCCUACCAAGUCAACGAUCAGUAGCCGGUCUGAGAGGAUGAACGGCCACAUUGGGACUGAGAUACGGCCCAGACUCCUACGGGAGGCAGCAGUGGGGAAUAUUGGGCAAUGGGGGAAACCCUGACCCAGCAACGCCGCGUGAAGGAAGAAGGCCUUCGGGUUGUAAACUUCUUUUACCAGGGACGAAGGACGUGACGGUACCUGGAGAAAAAGCAACGGCUAACUACGUGCCAGCAGCCGCGGUAAUACGUAGGUUGCAAGCGUUGUCCGGAUUUACUGGGUGUAAAGGGCGUGUAGGCGGAGAUGCAAGUUGGGAGUGAAAUCCCGGGGCUCAACCCCGGAACUGCUCUCAAAACUGUAUCCCUUGAGUAUCGGAGAGGCAAGCGGAAUUCCUAGUGUAGCGGUGAAAUGCGUAGAUAUUAGGAGGAACACCAGUGGCGAAGGCGGCUUGCUGGACGACAACUGACGCUGAGGCGCGAAAGCGUGGGGAGCAAACAGGAUUAGAUACCCUGGUAGUCCACGCUGUAAACGAUGAAUACUAGGUGUGGGAGGACUGACCCCUUCCGUGCCGCAGUUAACACAAUAAGUAUUCCACCUGGGGAGUACGACCGCAAGGUUGAAACUCAAAGGAAUUGACGGGGGCCCGCACAAGCAGUGGAUUAUGUGGUUUAAUUCGACGCAACGCGAAGAACCUUACCAGGAUUUGACAUCCAACUAACGAAGUAGAGAUACAUUAGGUGCCCUUCGGGGAAAGUUGAGACAGGUGGUGCAUGGUUGUCGUCAGCUCGUGUCGUGAGAUGUUGGGUUAAGUCCCGCAACGAGCGCAACCCCUAUUGUUAGUUGCUACGCAAGAGCACUCUAGCGAGACUGCCGUUGACAAAACGGAGGAAGGCGGGGACGACGUCAAACCAUCAUGCCCCUUAUGUCUUGGGCUUCACGCAUGCUACAAUGGCCGGUACAAAGGGUUGCGAUACUGUGAGGUGGAGCUAAUCCCAAAAAGCCGGUCUCAGUUCGGAUUGAGGUCUGCAACUCGACCUCAUGAAGUUGGAGUCGCUAGUAAUCGCAGAUCAGCAACGCUGCGGUGAAUACGUUCCCGGGCCUUGUACACACCGCCCGUCA